GCAAUGGUCGUUCAAUGGUAGAAUUCUCACCUUCUGUGUAUGAGGCCCGGGUUCAAUUCCUGACCAAUGUG
rnacentral:tRNA from 1 species